CGGCUACACUGCGGGCGCGGAACCGAAGCUAGACUUGCAUAUCAAGACUUCUCGUCUGGAAUGUGUUCAGUUUGGCCGAGGGGAAGCUGAGAAGUACCGUAAGAACUCGAUCAAGAUAAUACUUGCGUGAGGAACGUGCUGCCGCUACUCC
rnacentral:ncRNA from 1 species